AGUGAACUAGUCACGUUGUUUACGUGUAACAUAUAAUUUACUUCAAUACAACUUUCUACCGACGUUUCGCAGUUGCACGGUGUGGGAAGUGUCAACAGCGGAAAGUUUCGAAGUGGAUUCCUAUCACGAUCUUCAAGUAGCGAAUGCCUUACUUAGUUCUAACUUAGCCUAAACUUUUGAUCAGUACUCACAGCAACAAUAAUGUCAAACACUGAAAUAAUAACAUUUGAAGACCUAGAGGCGACAGAUGUGAUCAGUGUUGAGUUGGUUCCCGAACGUAAAGGUCUCAUUCUGAAGCACUGUGAAUACUAUGUCAGCUCCCGGAGACACGGCACCACUGUGACGAGGAGAUACAAUGAGUUUGUUCAGCUGUAUGAUGUGCUCUAUGCCAAAUAUCCAUACCGAGCCGUAUGCCGCUUGCCCCCAAAACGCGUGGUCGUCAAUGGGGGCAGCCCCCUUUUUCUCCAACGACGCCGCGCCGCCCUCCAACGAUGGCUGACACUCAUGGCAAGACACCCCGUAUUGGCCCACGAUGCCGACUUAAGAACGUUUCUGUGCGAGGCAAACUCGAGACUCGAGAAACCGAAACAUGACGAGUUUACGUUGGCUGGAACACAAGAAAGCAGUUCUAGAGACAUGACCACAGAAGAGAUGCAGGCAGCAUUCGUGUCGAGCCAGGAGCAACUGCGGCUUGUUCAGCUGGGCUUGGACAGGCUCUUCCAAAUCUUCGAGAGAGCGGAGAGUCGCUGUGAAGCAGAGAAAGCGGAUAUAAGAGAACUCGGAGCUGGAUUGAACGCCCUUUCCGCUACCAAUGUCUCCGACACCGCCCGCUGGUCGCCCGUGCGCGAAGCGCUUAAAGUCGCUGCCGAACUGGCUGUUGAAAUGGGUGAAAAUACCACUGAAAACACAGAUUUUACAGAAGAUGGCAUUGGAGGGAGGCUCUUGUUGGCUUUAGAUGCUUUAGGAGCCUACAGGGAGCUAUGCGGCCGCCUGACGCGGGGGCUGCACGCCGAGCGCGCCGCGGCGGCCGCGCAGCACCGGCACUCGGCCGCCAGCCAGCUCCUGCGCGAGCGGCACCGGUACGCGCUGUGCUGCGCCACGCAGGUACACAGAGCAUAGAUAGAAUAUUGUCAGGGAGCUAUGCGGCCGCCUGACGCGGGGGCUGCACGCCGAGCGCGCCGCGGCGGCCGCGCAGCACCGGCACUCGGCCGCCAGCCAGCUCCUGCGCGAGCGGCACCGGUACGCGCUGUGCUGCGCCACGCAGGUACACAGAGCAUAGAUAGAAUAUUGUCAGGGAGCUAUGCGGCCGCCUGACGCGGGGGCUGCACGCCGAGCGCGCCGCGGCGGCCGCGCAGCACCGGCACUCGGCCGCCAGCCAGCUCCUGCGCGAGCGGCACCGGUACGCGCUGUGCUGCGCCACGCAGGUACACAGAGCAUAGAUAGAAUAUUGUCAGGGAGCUAUGCGGCCGCCUGACGCGGGGGCUGCACGCCGAGCGCGCCGCGGCGGCCGCGCAGCACCGGCACUCGGCCGCCAGCCAGCUCCUGCGCGAGCGGCACCGGUACGCGCUGUGCUGCGCCACGCAGGUACACAGAGCAUAGAUAGAAUAUUGUCAGGGAGCUAUGCGGCCGCCUGACGCGGGGGCUGCACGCCGAGCGCGCCGCGGCGGCCGCGCAGCACCGGCACUCGGCCGCCAGCCAGCUCCUGCGCGAGCGGCACCGGUACGCGCUGUGCUGCGCCACGCAGGUACACAGAGCAUAGAUAGAAUAUUGUCAGGGAGCUAUGCGGCCGCCUGACGCGGGGGCUGCACGCCGAGCGCGCCGCGGCGGCCGCGCAGCACCGGCACUCGGCCGCCAGCCAGCUCCUGCGCGAGCGGCACCGGUACGCGCUGUGCUGCGCCACGCAGGUACACAGAGCAUAGAUAGAAUAUUGUCAGGGAGCUAUGCGGCCGCCUGACGCGGGGGCUGCACGCCGAGCGCGCCGCGGCGGCCGCGCAGCACCGGCACUCGGCCGCCAGCCAGCUCCUGCGCGAGCGGCACCGGUACGCGCUGUGCUGCGCCACGCAGGUACACAGAGCAUAGAUAGAAUAUUGUCAGGGAGCUAUGCGGCCGCCUGACGCGGGGGCUGCACGCCGAGCGCGCCGCGGCGGCCGCGCAGCACCGGCACUCGGCCGCCAGCCAGCUCCUGCGCGAGCGGCACCGGUACGCGCUGUGCUGCGCCACGCAGGUACACAGAGCAUAGAUAGAAUAUUGUCAGGGAGCUAUGCGGCCGCCUGACGCGGGGGCUGCACGCCGAGCGCGCCGCGGCGGCCGCGCAGCACCGGCACUCGGCCGCCAGCCAGCUCCUGCGCGAGCGGCACCGGUACGCGCUGUGCUGCGCCACGCAGGAAGCGCUCCUGUCUCGUGCCUACGCACUGGCUGCUGUCGAAUCUCUUCCGUCUCUCUUCCGCACGCAAGGCGCGACGCACGCGCGCGUCGCCACUCUUUGGGCGGAUUUGCAUACAGCGCUCCGACACGCCGCCAAACCGAAAUAAACCUUGACACAAAGGUAUACACUCAAAAAUUAGAAUGCUAUCUCGAAGAUAAUAAUUAGAAUCUUAAGUCCGUUGAGCAUAGCAAUCAGAUUUAAUGAUCAUACUUCGUACUUGUCUACGUGGCGUGUUGCAAUCUCUUUCAGUCGUGCGGUGUUAAAAAGUGAUGUUUAUUUUAUAUCGUACAUGACGCCAUACAACAUAUACCAGAAGGCGUAGUAAACAUGAAAAGCAACAAAUUGUUUCACAGGUGUCACAAUAGUACAUUGUGCAACGAGGGGGGUAAGUGAAUUUUUGAAGACCCGAGGUUGCGAGGGUGGUUCUUACCCCCCGAGUUACACACAAUGUUUUUCAUCACACUUGAGAAGAAAAAACUAAAUUUUAAGCGAAAUCAUUCUUAAAUACGGUGACAUUUCAAACAUUCGUCCGCCAUAUUGUCAUUUCUUGAUAGGUUAGGCAUCGAAGGCACAGACCUAUUCGGCAUUCAGCCACGAUUGAAAAUUAUGUAAAAAUAUUUGUAACUGCUAAUAAAUUAAUCAAAUUAAAUAUUUUUAAACAAACAAACAUAUUAAAUUAUUAAUGGCAGUAUUUUUAAAGUAAAACUCAUUUACACUACGUGGUUUCUAUGAAUUCGUGACAUAUUUAAAAAAAAGUUAACUCCCUAGGGAGUUAUAGCUUUUUUGUCGCAAUCCAUAACUCCCGCGGGAACAAUGUAGGCCUUUGUCCUUCAGCUCACCUGCAUGAAAUAAGAUUUUUUUUAGCAAGUGUGAUGAAAAUAAUAUAACUGAUUUCCGACACGACCAUCCCCGCUUUGUACCCGUCCCUGAGUACGUUCCCUUCGAAAAUAUACUAGUUCG